rnacentral:tRNA from 1 species
GCCGAGAUAGCUCAGUUGGUAGAGCACGCGACUGAAAAUCGCGGUGUCGGCAGUUCGAUCCUGCCUCUCGGCACCA